rnacentral:tRNA from 1 species
GGAGGGGUGGCUGAGUGGUUGAAAGCGCCGGUCUUGAAAACCGGAGUGGGCUUGCGCCCACCGUGGGUUCGAAUCCCACCCCCUCCG